rfam:Dipodomys ordii contig_30083, whole genome shotgun sequence.
GGUGGCUCAGUGGUAGAGUACUUGCCUUGCAUGCAUGAGGCCCUGGGUUUGAUUCCUCAGUACCA